GGUAAAAUGGCUGAAUGAUAGGCGAUAAAUUGUAAAUUUAUUUAUGAGAAAUAUUCUCUUUUACU
rnacentral:tRNA from 1 species